rnacentral:rRNA from 1 species
GACGAACGCUGGCGGCGUGCCUAACACAUGCAAGUCGAACGGAAAGGCCCUGCUUUUGCGGGGUGCUCGAGUGGCGAAGGGGUGAGAAACACGUGAGUAACCUGCCCUUGACUUUGGGAUAACUUCAGGAAACUGGGGCUAAUACCGGAUAGGAGCUCCUGCUGCAUGGUGGGGGUUGGAAAGUUUCGGCGGUUGGGGAUGGACUCGCGGCUUAUCAGCUUGUUGGUGGAGUAGUGGCUUACCAAGCCUUUGACGGAUAGCCGGCCUGGGAGGGUGACCGGCCACAUGGGGACUGAGAGACGGCCCAGACGCCUACGGGAGGCAGCAGGGGGGAAUAUUGCACAAUGGGCGGAAGCCUGAUGCAGCAGCGCCGCGUGCGUGAUGACGGCCUUCGGGUGGUAAACCGCUUUCGCCUGUGACGAAGCGUGAGUGACGGUAAUGGGUAAAGAAGCACCGGCUAACUACGUG